GGAGUUAGGAAAUGUAGGUGCGAUAAUACCGUGCCUAUUUGACAAAGGCUCCAAGGAAGCCACGGCUAACUCUGUGCCAGCAGCCGCGGUAAUACAGAGGUGGCAAGCGUUGUUCGGAAUUAUUGGGCGUAAAGAGCACGUAGGUGGAUUUGUUAGUCAGAUGUGAAAGCCUGUUGUUCAACGGAAGAAUUGCAUCUGAAACUACAAAC
rnacentral:rRNA from 1 species